AGAGUUUGAUCCUGGCUCAGAUUGAACGCUGGCGGCAUGCCUUACACAUGCAAGUCGAACGGCAGCACGGGAGCAAUCCUGGUGGCGAGUGGCGAACGGGUGAGUAAUGUAUCGGAACGUACCUUUCAGUGGGGGAUAACGUAGCGAAAGUUACGCUAAUACCGCAUAUUCUGUGAGCAGGAAAGCAGGGGAUCGCAAGACCUUGCGCUGAUUGAGCGGCCGAUAUCAGAUUAGCUAGUUGGUGAGGUAAAGGCUCACCAAGGCGACGAUCUGUAGCGGGUCUGAGAGGAUGAUCCGCCACACUGGAACUGAGACACGGUCCAGACUCCUACGGGAGGCAGCAGUGGGGAAUUUUGGACAAUGGGCGCAAGCCUGAUCCAGCCAUGCCGCGUGAGUGAAGAAGGCCUUCGGGUUGUAAAGCUCUUUCGGCCGGGAAGAAAUCGCAUGGGUUAAUACCCUGUGCGGAUGACGGUACCGGCAUAA
rnacentral:rRNA from 1 species